rnacentral:misc_RNA from 1 species
UACAGAGGUCUCAAGCGUUGUUCGGAAUCACUGGGCGUAAAGGGUGCGUAGGUUGCGUGGUAAGUCAGAUGUGAAAGCCUGGGGCUCAAUCUCAGAAUUGCAUCCGAUACUGCCGUGCUAGAGUACUGAAGGGGUGACUAGAAUUCUCGGUGUAGCAGUGAAAUGCGUAGAUAUCGAGAGGAAUACCAAAGGCGAAGGCGGGUCACUGGGCAGUUACUGACACUGAGGCACGAAGGCCAGGGGAGCGAACGGG